rnacentral:rRNA from 1 species
GAUGAACGCUAGCGGCAGACCUAACACAUGCAAGUCGAGGGGCAGCACAUAAAGUGGUUUACUACUUUUGGUGGCGACCGGCGGACGGGUGCGUAACGCGUAUGCAACCUGCCUCCAACAGGGGGAUAACGGAGAGAAAUUUCCACUAAUACCCCAUAAUAUCAGAAUCGGCAUCGGUUUUGGUUGAAAACUCCGGUGGUCGGAGAUGGGCAUGCGUUGUAUUAGAUAGUGGGUGAGGUAACGGCUCACCAAGUCAACGAUACAUAGGGGGACUGAGAGGUUAGCCCCCCACACUGGUACUGAGACACGGACCAGACUCCUACGGGAGGCAGCAGUGAGGAAUAUUGGUCAAUGGGGGCAACCCUGAACCAGCCAUGCCGCGUGCAGGAAGACGGCUCUAUGAGUUGUAAACUGCUUUUACAAGGGGAUAAAUCGGUGUACGUGUACACCGUUGAAGGUACCUUGGGAAUAAGGAUCGGCUAACUCCGUGCCAGCAGCCGCAGUAA